GCAUAACAUACUCAGCGCUGUGUGUCCAUCUGGAGUGUUCUGGUGUGAGUUGCAGAGUUUUGCAGAUAUCAGCCACAGAGAUGUCUGCACUAUUUUGAAUAUAAUGGGACUGUAUGGCGCUCGGCCUCAAAAGCGCCAAAAAAAUACAUUCGGAAAACUCAACGGCAACGUCUCUUUCCAGAAAUCACGACCCGGUUACUCAAGACAAUCCAGUUGUGAGCAGCUUCAUGUAGGGACUAUCUGUAGAAAGAAAAUAGUCCCGUCGGUUCAACAGUUUGUGGCAGUCCAUCCAAUAGUUUUCAUUUUUUUAAGCGCUCAUCAAGGAGAAAUUUUGGCUUGAUGGUGGCAGGAGAAGAAAGGUCAGAAGGUAACCAAAAACUGGAGGAUUCAUGUUCUGGGGACCACAAAUAUCUACAGCAAACUGAUAUUCCACCAUUAGGCUCCACUGCUAGUGUCAAGGACUUCAACUGGAGAUCCACUCCAAAAACACCAAAACCUAGAUAAGCAGUUUGGAAGGCAGACAUCAGUGGAGCGGACAUUCAGCUGCAUGUUAAAGGAUGAAGGAGCAGCUGCUGCAGCCAAUCACACUGUAGAGUGCAGACCGGGGAUUUGCCUGACACAGUAAACAGGAAGUAUAAUGUUGCUAUGGAUUCAGUGAGUUAGCUGUGGGCUACAACUUGACCCCCGUUUUUUUUUUUUUUUUUACCUAUAUUCAUCUACAUUUUGGCAAAGUGGCUCCAUUAAAAGUAGCCGAACCAGCAGUCAGCAGCUCCUGUCUGCAGUGGACCCGUGGACGGACAGACAGCUGUCUCUGGAUCACUGCGAGACUGAAGGAAACUUAAAAAUAUGAUGAUUCUCAGGCAGGUUCUGCAGUUAUAAGGAGCACCUUUUAUUCUAUGAUUUCUAAGCCGGUUUAUGGACGUUUCUCUGCGAUGGACUUCAGAGAUAAUGAUAUCCUCGGAAAGUGUAAGUCACACCGAAUCUAAAGACAUGCGUAUCAUGUCUGUGCGUUCAGGCUAGACUGAGUUAUGUCUCAGAGAAGAAGUGCGAUUUUUGAUGCUAACUGCAUCACUCCGUGGCAAGGGGUUACAUAAAGUUCUGUGGUUUUCUGAUUACUGACCCACCGAUGGCUUGCUGGGGUUUCACACCAACAAAUAUUAAGAAAUAUUAAGAACGCACAUAUAUAAAAACACUGCAAGUGUCUCAUUAUUUUAUAAAAUAAACCUUUUAUUUUAUCAAAAGUUGAUCAUGACAGCAAUAGGAUCAUGACAAUAAUAUAUAAUGCACAGAAAUGGAAUAAACAGCAACAGAGUAUAUGAAAAACUAGUGCAAAAAAAUCACAAAUACAAAAAUAUAUUGCACUUUGAAGUUUUAGGUGGAAGAAGUCAUGUUUGAACAACAUUCUCAGUUUGAUAUAUUCAUCUGUAAACAUUUAUCUUUUACGCUUUGUCAUUCUUUUCGUGAGCACAAAGCUUCUUAACAUCCAUGUUUUGGAAAGAUCUACAGCAAGAGAAGCUUUAGAGCAGAAACCAACAGGCGACUUGUGGUACUUUAUCUUGGUUGGUCGGAGUUGUGCUUUACUCUAGACCCAGUCUGGGUUUAUACCUGGUCAUUUAAACCAACACA